AUCCGUUGGUGGCAUAACUUCCCAGUAAGGGCGGUAUGGUCACGCACAUAAAUCAACAGUGCCAAAUUACCAAAACCCGCCUAAUCAGCGGGUUUUUUUAU
rfam:Photorhabdus luminescens subsp. laumondii TTO1 complete genome; segment 9/17